UGGGGAAUAUUGCACAAUGGGCGGAAGCCUGAUGCAGCGACGCCGCGUGGGGGAUGAAGGCCUUCGGGUUGUAAACUCCUUUCGACAGGGACGAAGCUUUUGUGACGGUACCUGUAUAAGAAGCACCGGCUAACUACGUGCCAGCAGCCGCGGUAAUACGUAGGGUGCGAGCGUUGUCCGGAAUUACUGGCCGUAAAGAGCUAGUAGGUGGUUUGUCGCGUCGUCUGUGAAAUUCCGGGGCUUAACUCCGGGCGUGCAGGCGAUACGGGCUGACUUGAGUGCUGUAGGGAAGGCUGGAAUUCCUGGUGUAGCGGUGAAAUGCGCAGAUAUCAGGAGGAACACCGAUGGCGAAGGCGGGUCUCUGGGCAGUAACUGACGCUGAGGAGCGAAAGCUUGGGUAGCGAACAGGAUUAGAUACCCUGGUAGUCCAUGCCGUAAACGGUGGGCGCUAGGUGUAGGGGGCUUCCACGUCUUCUGUGCCGUAGCUAACGCAUUANGCGCCCCNGCCUGGGAGUACGGCCGCAAGCUA
rnacentral:rRNA from 1 species